UUUUAGCCCUGAUCGAAACGGCAUCCUUUUGUGGCGGGGUUCGCCACAAAAGAUAUAGUGGAGAGCAGGAAUAGCU
rnacentral:sRNA from 1 species